rnacentral:rRNA from 1 species
GUAGGUGGGGUAACGGCUCACCUAGGCGACGAUCCCUAGCUGGUCUGAGAGGAUGACCAGCCACACUGGAACUGAGACACGGUCCAGACUCCUACGGGAGGCAGCAGUGGGGAAUAUUGCACAAUGGGCGCAAGCCUGAUGCAGCCAUGCCGCGUGUGUGAAGAAGGCCUUCGGGUUGUAAAGCACUUUCAGCGGGGAGGAAGGCGGUGAGGUUAAUAACCUCAUCGAUUGACGUUACCCGCAGAAGAAGCACCGGCUAACUCCGUGCCAGCAGCCGCGGUAAUACGGAGGGUGCAAGCGUUAAUCGGAAUUACUGGGCGUAAAGCGCACGCAGGCGGUCUGUCAAGUCGGAUGUGAAAUCCCCGGGCUUAACCUGGGAACUGCAUUCGAAACUGGCAGGCUAGAGUCUUGUAGAGGGG